UAUAUAUAUAUAUAUAUAUAUUUGACUUACUACAAUAUAUAUAGUUGUCUAGAGCAUUGGUUCUCGAAGUGGGUCCAGGUGGCUCUGAUUUAUUCAUUUAGUUAGGACGGUGAAAAUCAUAAAUCCACUUUUAUUUUUAUUAUUAUUAUUACUAUAUUGUUCCUAAGUUCCUAUAAUUGUUAUAAUGCUCCAUACCUCUCAUACAUUAAAAACAAUACCUCCACUACUCAUUAAAAUAAUGAGGUUAAUAUUUGAAUUAGUUUGUUUAUGCUCAUACAUCAGUGCUGAGGGGUCUGAGAAUUUAUUUUAUAAUUAACGGAGUCCCUGGCUGCAAAAAGUUUGAGAACCCCUGGUCUAGACUUAACACAACAUGACAGAUACUAAGAACAAUUUAUUAGUAUUAAGUCAGAAAACAUUAAAACAACCUCACUGCAAAAAAAAAACAAAAAAACAAAAAAAACAGUAUCUAUGCAAGUGAAUAAAGGCAAAUUCAUUUAAUCUAAUACAGUAUGUAUAAUUAUGAGAUUAGUAUAUAGCAAAAAAAAGAAAGAAAAAGAUCUCCAAACCCAUUUCUAGAGCUCUUUUACUAAUGAACUACUAAUUUCAAGCUUGAAAUGGUCUUUUUUUUUAAAAAAGUAAAAAAAAUCAGUGGAUACUUUGGCUCUUUUCUUGAAAUAAAGCAAAAUUAUCCACUCAUUGUCCAUUUCAAACCUAAAAUUAGUGUCUGAAACCACCUACAUUGCGGAAUUUGCCUAUAUUCAUGAUAUUUCUACUUGCUUAGGUAUUGUGUGACGUUUUAGCAGUGUUUUAAUCGACCAUCCUGAAGAGUUCUUCCUGCAUGCACCUAAAAGCAUGCGUGUUUUAGCAGUCGCUUUCACAAUCUCACAUUCUGGAUCCGAUCUCUUCUGGUGUAAACACAGUACUGUAAUGAUGUAAUGCAGUAAGCAGCGUCAUACUGUAGCUGACUGAGUAAUGAUCCUGGUUGUGUGUAUACUGUAGAUAUGUUUACAUGGAUACUUACUAGGGCCUAAGGCUUCGGUUAGAAAUGUCUAGAGGGUCCCAAUGCUUUAUACGUUCCCUCACCUUACUCUUCACUACUACUACUACAGAAAAGCACCUCUUCUCUUAUAUCCAACUAUGUUCACUUACGCUGCAAAUGUUGGGGUUUUUUUGGUGUGUGUGCGUGUGUGUGUGUGUGUGUGUGUGUGUAUGUGUGUGUGAGGGAAAAGCCAGUGUUUUAAAGGACUGUUACAACGGCAGCCAGUACAAUGCUUUUGCUGACGUAUUGAAAUAUUAGCCAACACGCCUCCUAUCGCUUUACUGUGCAUGCCUUUCGUUUAGCUGCUCUUAUUUAAUAUCCAUAUCUGUAUUUAUGUGUUUUAUUUCGUGUGCGUUCCAACAACUGUACAUAAAAGACCUGUUGUUUUUUUUUGUUUUGUUUUUUAAUUAAACUUCCACCUGUGAUAGUUUCUGUAAACACCAUUUGCUCUAGAUAAAGCAAAACCUCUGACUUUUCCACCUCAGUCUCUGUCUCCUUCUUAAAAUAUAUUGCAUGUGUCGAGUUUUGAUGCAGUGUAUUUCAAAUACAUUUUAUAUAAAGAACUGUUUCUGUUCAAAAAUCCAAUCAAUUGGAGUCACAUGUGAAACCGUUGUAAAAUCACGCUUCGUCAGUGAAUAAUUGAAUUCUGUGUUAAAUCAAUAAAACGGUUACACUUAAGCCAUUGUUCUGUCCAUGGAAUACCUUCCUUUUUGGGCAUUAUGUUGCUUAGCAACCAAAGCUUACUGUUAACAGACUACAUUGUGUGGCAGAAAAAUUGUUUAUUGCAAUGAUGAUUAAUAAUGAUUUAUUUAUCAAAUUCUGGAUUUGAUCAUAUUGAUUUAUUUAGUAUUGAAUACAAAC
ensembl:lncRNA